GCAAAUAUGCCUUAUUUUAGUUUUAGUCCCUGUAAAAAAAAAUUGUUUUUGGUCCCUGCAAAAUUUUUUGUUUUUUAAAAUAAUCUCUAACCCCAUUUUUGUGAUGAUUUGCAUACGUGGCACAUGAUGACUGAACCAAUUUUGUAGUUUUUGGUCCCUGCAAAAUAUUUUGUUUUUUAAAAAGGUCCCUGCAAAAUUUUUUGUUUUUGAAAAUAGUCUCUUACAGGGACUAAAACCAAAACGAGACAUAUUUGCAGGGACUAAAACCAU
rnacentral:lncRNA from 1 species